rnacentral:rRNA from 1 species
UGGCGAACGGGUGAGUAAUGCGUGACCAACCUGCCCCAUGCUCCAGAAUAGCUCUUGGAAACGGGUGGUAAUGCUGUAUUCUCCAACUUGACGCAUGUCUUGUUGGGAAAGUGUUUAGUGGCAUGGGAUGGGGUCGCGUCCUAUCAGCUUGUAGGCGGGGUAAUGGCCCACCUAGGCUUCGACGGGUAGCCGGCCUGAGAGGGCGGACGGCCACAUUGGGACUGAGAUACGGCCCAGACUCCUACGGGAGGCAGCAGGG